rnacentral:tRNA from 1 species
GUCCCGGUAGCUCAAUGGCAGAGCAUCUUCUGCUUGAUUGAAGAGGAUGCCAGUUCGAUUCUGGCUUGGGGCA